rnacentral:rRNA from 1 species
GACGGACGCUGGCGGCGUGCUUAACACAUGCAAGUCGAACGGAAAGGCCCUGCUUUUGUGGGGUGCUCGAGUGGCGAACGGGUGAGUAACACGUGAGUAACCUGCCCUUGACUUUGGGAUAACUUCAGGAAACUGGGGCUAAUACCGGAUAGGAGCUCCUGCUGCAUGGUGGGGGUUGGAAAGUUUCGGCGGUUGGGGAUGGACUCGCGGCUUAUCAGCUUGUUGGUGGGGUAGUGGCUUACCAAGGCUUUGACGGGUAGCCGGCCUGAGAGGGUGACCGGCCACAUUGGGACUGAGGUACGGCCCAGACUCCUACGGGAGGCAGCAGUGGGGAAUAUUGCACAAUGGGCGGAAGCCUGAUGCAGCAACGCCGCGUGCGGGAUGACGGCCUUCGGGUUGUAAACCGCUUUCGCCUGUGACGAAGCGUGAGUGACGGUAAUGGGUAAAGAAGCACCGGCUAACUACGUG